CUACCCCUCCCGCAAGCGCAAGAGCAAGGUGAUUUGAAAGCAGCUUCAGGCACAGCUUGAGGAAACUGUGGUGCUCCCUGAAACCAAAUAAACUACUAUGAACUUCUGACCUACAAAAGAACAUGUUCUAUCCAGUUUGGAUUAAAGCUCCAUGAGAGCAAGGAUCUUGCCUGUUUUGUUCACUGCUGUUGUGUCAACUACCUAAAACACUGCCUGGCUCUUGGAAGGUAUUGGGGAGCAGUAAAUAAAAGAAGUCAAAAAAGGAAUGAGAUGGUUUAUUACGGAUUAAAUUGAAGGCAGAUUUAUAGUACAUACCAAAGAACGCCUCAUCUGCAUUAAUAUAGUCAUAAAGCAGUCAAAGCUGAUCAUUCCUUCCUGGCUUGAUAGUAGUUUGCUUUUCUCCAUGGAAUUUACAACCGCUGAAGCCCCCAAAGCCAUUUCUAUCCAUUCAAGAAGGUACCGCAAAGAGCCUCGCUGAGCUGCUAAACCAAGUAGCAACUCAGAAGCUAAUCUGCGACCUAAAGUGUCUGCCCCAGAAUUGGGAAUAGUUACUCCUUUAAGAAAUGUUGUCACUUGUGAUAAGCAGUCCAAACCCAUUGGAGGAAUCUUGCUUUCAUUUGCUAAAGAUAAUGGUGGCAAAGAGCUGACAACUUCAAUUGCAGUAUGAAUAACGUCGUUGCAAAGACUAAGACCAGGUCCUGACACAGGCAUCAUCCAACUUUGUCUUAGAAGUGCAAAUAAUAAACUUAGACCAGUUCGAACACCCAUUUCUAUAAGUGCAUCAGUGCUUGACCGGGGACGUUCACUAACAGAAUGGACAUCUGCUGAACCAGAGCUGCUCUCCGGAGAAUGCUGCUGCUGUUUCACUUUGCCUUUGUCAUGGUAUUUAUUAGAAAGUGCAUAAAAGACACGCUGGAGUACAAGCAGUCGUUUUCGAAGUGCCCCAGCAAAUGGGGAAUCUGAACAUACCAUCUUCGCUAGUGCUAGCUGGCUGCUAAGAAGGGCAUCCAAAUAGUGGUCCUGCUCAUCACUUGAAAGAGACUCACGUUCAAAGUCUGGCAACUGUGGUCCUUUGAGGCACAAAACUUGUUGGGGCAAAGGUACUACUUCUUUAUUGCUGACCAGUUUAGAAUACAGAACAGCAACUCCCUCUCUUGUAGCAAUAGAUUCACUAUCCUCUGUAAUCCAGGAGCUGUUCAGGUGUUCAAGCCAUUUCAGUUUCACUGGUGGAACCAUAGUUGCCAUGUUGGUUUACUCUUCAGCCAUUAGUUCUAUAAAGGGAGAUGAAAAAGCAGUCAAAAACUUACACAAUUGAUUCAUAAAAUGUUUCUGAACUUCCAUCUUACAUUACAAUUAGUGAUUUCAAACUGGUGAGACAAAGUCUGAACUGGAAUUAAUAGCAAUGUACCAAUGUUAGUAUUUUAGCUUUGAUAAGUGUACUAUAGUUAUCUAAGAUGCUAAUAUUAAGGGAAAAUGGGUAAAGGGCAUAGGAGAACCCUGCACAAUCUUUGCAACUUUUGUGUAAACCUAAAAUUACCCCAAAAUAAAGUUUAUUAUUAAAAAUUA